rnacentral:rRNA from 1 species
UCCUACGGGAGGCAGCAGUGGGGAAUAUUGCACAAUGGGCGGAAGCCUGAUGCAGCAACGCCGCGUGCGGGAUGACGGCCUUCGGGUUGUAAACCGCUUUCGCCUGUGACGAAGCGUGAGUGACGGUAAUGGGUAAAGAAGCACCGGCUAACUACGUGCCAGCAGCCGCGGUGAUACGUAGGGUGCGAGCGUUGUCCGGAUUUAUUGGGCGUAAAGGGCUCGUAGGUGGUUGAUCGCGUCGGAAGUGUAAUCUUGGGGCUUAACCCUGAGCGUGCUUUCGAUACGGGUUGACUUGAGGAAGGUAGGGGAGAAUGGAAUUCCUGGUGGAGCGGUGGAAUGCGCAGAUAUCAGGAGGAACACCAGUGGCGAAGGCGGUUCUCUGGGCCUUUCCUGACGCUGAGGAGCGAAAGCGUGGGGAGCGAACAGGAUUAGAUACCCUGGUAGUCCA